rnacentral:misc_RNA from 1 species
UGGUUCUGGCAUCGAUGAAGAACGCAGCGAAAUGCGAUAAGUAAUGCGAAUUGCAGAAUUCUAGUGAGUCAUCGAAUCUUUGAACGCACAUUGCGCCCUUUGGUAUUCCGAAGGGCAUGCCUGUUCGAGCGUCAUUAUCACCCCUCAAGCCCCCGUGGUUUGGUGUUGGAUGGUUGGCCUUUUCACCGGGGCCCCUCCCAAAGUUAAUGACGGCGGCCUGUCGGACCCCCGGUACACUGAGCUUCUUCAUUGAGCACGUAUCGGUAUUUUGUGGUUGGCAGCUUCCGGUCUCUGUGUUCCCGUCAUGGGACACCCUUUUUUCAAGGUUGACCUCGGAUCAGGUAGGGAUACCCGCUGA